rnacentral:rRNA from 1 species
UCGAGCGAAGCUUUUCAGUAGUUUACUACAGAAAAUGACUGAGCGGCGAACGGGUGAGUAACGCGUGAGCAACCUACCUUAGUUACUGGGAUAGCCCGAGGAAACUCGGAUUAAUACCGGAUAUUCUUAUUUAAUCACAUGAUUUUUUAAGGAAAGGUCAGCCGAACUAAGAUGGGCUCGCGUUCUAUCAGCUAGUUGGUAGGGUAAUGGCCUACCAAGGCUACGACGGAUAGCUGGUCUGAGAGGACGAUCAGCCACACUGGGACUGAGACACGGCCCAGACUCCUACGGGAGGCUGCAGCAGGGAAUAUUGCGCAAUGAGCGAAAGCUUGACGCAGCGACACCGCGUGUGGGAUGACGGAUCUAGGUUUGUAAACCACUUUCAGGAGGGAAGAAAAUGACGGUACCUCCACAAGAAGCCCCGGCCAACUACGUGCCAGCAGCCGCGGUAAUACGUAGGGGGCGAGCGUUGUCCGGAUUUAUUGGGCGUAAAGAGCUCGUAGGCGGUUCAACAAGUCGGUCGUGAAAGUUCAGGGCUCAACCCUGAAAUGUCGAUCGAUACUGUUGUGACUAGGAUACGGUAGAGGUGAGUGGAAUUCCGAGUGUAGCGGUGAAAUGCGUAGAUAUUCGGAGGAACACCAAUUGCGAAGGCAGCUCACUGGGCCGCUAUCGACGCUGAGGAGCGAAAGCUAGGGGAGCAAACAGGAUUAGAUACCCUGGUAGUCCUAGCUGUAAACGAUGGAUACUAGACGUAGGAAUUGGUUUAACGAUUUCUGUGUCGUAGCUAACGCGUUAAGUAUCCCGCCUGGGGAGUACGGUCGCAAGACUAAAACUCAAAGGAAUUGACGGGACCCCGCACAAGCGGCGGAGCAUGCGGCUUAAUUCGAUGAUACCCGUAGAACCUUACCUGGACUUGACAUAUAGGGAAAAGUUAUAGAAAUAUAAUGUGCAUUAGCG